rnacentral:rRNA from 1 species
UGGUGGAGCGAUUUGUCUGGUCAAUUCCGAUAACGAACGAGACUCUGGCCGAUUAAAUAGUUCGCCGAUUCCGAUCUGUCGGCGUUAACUUCUUAGAGGGACAAGUGGCUUUUAGCCACGCGAGAUUGAGCAAUAACA